GUGAACGCUGGCGGCGUGCUUAACACAUGCAAGUCGAACGGUAACAGGAAGUAGCUUGCUACUUUGCUGACGAGUGGCGCACGGGUGAGUAUACCAUAGAUAAUGUACCUCUUAGUUUGGGAUAGCCACUGGAAACGGUGAUUAAUACCAGAUACUCCUUCUCGUUAUAAGACGAGUCGGGAAAGUUUUUUCGCUAAGAGAUCAGUCUAUGUCCUAUCAGCUAGUUGGUGAGGUAAUGGCUCACCAAGGCAAUGACGGGUAGCGGUUCUGAGAGGAUGAUCCGCCACACUGGUACUGAGACACGGACCAGACUCCUACGGGAGGCAGCAGUGAGGAAUAUUGCACAAUGGGGGGAACCCUGAUGCAGCAACGCCGCGUGGAGGAUGACGCAUUUCGGUGUGUAAACUCCUUUUAUAUGUCAAGAAAAUGACGGUAGCAUAUGAAUAAGCACCGGCUAACUCCGU
rnacentral:rRNA from 1 species